rnacentral:lncRNA from 1 species
AGGCCGCGUCCGCCUUCAGUUGUGGCCGGUGCUUCGCCCCCUGACCCUUCGCCCCCAAAGACCAGCUCUAACGUUAAUUUGGAGUGGCCCCUGGAGUCAGUUUCCUACACCAUCCGAGGCCCCACCCAGCACGAGCUACAGCCUCCACCAGGAGGGCCUGGAACCCUCAGCCUGCACUUCCUCAACCCUCAGGAAGCUCAGCGGUGGGCAGUCCUAGUCCGAGGUGCCACCGUGGAAGGACAGAAUGGUCAGUGCCCUGUAAUGGAUACAAUUACAAUUUGGAAUAGCCUUGGCCCCCCAGUCCUGGUUGGGGAAGUUGGAUCCACCUUCCCCACUGCUGGAUGUCUGGGAAGGCUUCCAGGAGGGAGUAGGUGGAGCCUGGAGUAGCUUGGAGUACUUGGAGUGGCUGCUGGAGUCAGUCUCCUACACCAUCUGAGGCCCCAGCCAGCACAAGUUGCAGCCUCCACCAGGAAGCCCUGGAACCUCAGCCUGCACUUCCUUAACCCUCAGGAAGGAUGAGAGGCAAGCAUGAAGAGGCAGAGCAGGCAGGGUCAGGACCUGUGUGAGAAGACAUCAUCCCAAGAGCAGCAGGAGAGUGACAGGAGUGGGAGAGUGACAGACUCAGAUACCUCCUGCUUAAGACAGAGUUCUGCAGU